rnacentral:rRNA from 1 species
CCUACGGGAGGCUGCAGUGGGGAAUAUUGCACAAUGGGCGCAAGCCUGAUGCAGCCAUGCCGCGUGUGUGAAGAAGGCCUUCGGGUUGUAAAGCACUUUCAGCGGGGAGGAAGGCGGUGAGGUUAAUAACCUCAUCGAUUGACGUUACCCGCAGAAGAAGCACCGGCUAACUCCGUGCCAGCAGCCGCGGUAAUACGGAGGGUGCAAGCGUUAAUCGGAAUUACUGGGCGUAAAGCGCACGCAGGCGGUCUGUCAAGUCGGAUGUGAAAUCCCCGGGCUCAACCUGGGAACUGCAUUCGAAACUGGCAGGCUAGAGUCUUGUAGAGGGGGGUAGAAUUCCAGGUGUAGCGGUAAAAUGCGUAGAGAUCUGGAGGAAUACCGGUGGCGAAGGCGGCCCCCUGGACAAAGACUGACGCUCAGGUGCGAAAGCGUGGGGAGCAAACAGGAUUAGAUACCCCGGUAGUC